GUGUCAGCCGCCGCGGUAAUACGGAGGAUGCGAGCGUUAUCCGGAUUUAUUGGGUUUAAAGGGUGCGUAGGCGGAUUAAUAAGUCAGUGGUGAAAACCUGCAGCUUAACUGUAAAAUUGCCAUUGAUACUGUUAGUCUUGAGUACGGUCAAGGUAGGCGGAAUGUGUAAUGUAGCGGUGAAAUGCUUAGAUAUUACACAGAACACCGAUUGCGAAGGCAGCUUACUGGGCCAUUACUGACGCUGAGGCACGAAAGCGUGGGGAGCGAACAGGAUUAGAUACCCUGGUAGUCCACGCCGUAAACGAUGAUCACUCGCUGUUGGCGAUACACAGUCAGCGGCUAAGCAAAAGCAUUAAGUGAUCCACCUGGGGAGUACGGCCGCAAGGCUGAGACUUAAAGGAAUUGACGGGG
rnacentral:rRNA from 1 species